CGUACACUCCUACGGGAGGCAGCAGUGGGGAAUUUUGGACAAUGGGCGAAAGCCUGAUCCAGCAAUGCCGCGUGCAGGAUGAAGGCCUUCGGGUUGUAAACUGCUUUUGUACGGAACGAAAAAGCUCCUUCUAAUACAGGGGGCCCAUGACGGUACCGUAAGAAUAAGCACCGGCUAACUACGUGCCAGCAGCCGCGGUAAUACGUAGGGUGCGAGCGUUAAUCGGAACUACUGGGCGUAAAGCGUGCGCAGGCGGUUAUGUAAGACAGAUGUGAAAUCCCCGGGCUCAACCUGGGAACUGCAUUUGUGACUGCAUGGCUAGAGUACGGUAGAGGGGGAUGGAAUUCCGCGUGUAGCAGUGAAAUGCGUAGAUAUGCGGAGGAACACCGAUGGCGAAGGCAAUCCCCUGGACCUGUACUGACGCUCAUGCACGAAAGCGUGGGGAGCAAACAGGAUUAGAAACCCGAGUAGUCCCAUGA
rnacentral:rRNA from 1 species